rnacentral:rRNA from 2 species
UACAGAGGGUGCAAGCGUUAAUCGGAAUUACUGGGCGUAAAGCGUGCGUAGGUGGUUCGGUAAGUCAGAUGUGAAAGCCCUGGGCUUAACCUGGGAAUUGCGUUUGAUACUGUCGGACUAGAGUUUGGUAGAGGGAAGUGGAAUUCCACGUGUAGCGGUGAAAUGCGUAGAUAUGUGGAGGAACACCAGUGGCGAAGGCGGCUUCCUGGACUAAAACUGACACUGAGGCACGAAAGCGUGGGGAGCAAACAGG